CUUUCAACAACGGAUCUCUUGGUUCCAGCAUCGAUGAAGAACGCAGCGAAAUGCGAUAAGUAAUGUGAAUUGCAGAAUUCAGUGAAUCAUCGAAUCUUUGAACGCACAUUGCGCCCCUCGGUAUUCCGGGGGGCAUGCCUGUUCGAGCGUCAUUGCACCUCUC
rnacentral:rRNA from 1 species